ACUCCUACGGGAGGCAGCAGUGGGGAAUAUUGGACAAUGGGGGGAACCCUGAUCCAGCCAUGCCGCGUGUGUGAAGAAGGCCUUUUGGUUGUAAAGCACUUUAAGCGAGGAGGAGGCUCCUGUAGAUAAUACCUACAGUGAGUGGACGUUACUCGCAGAAUAAGCACCGGCUAACUCUGUGCCAGCAGCCGCGGUAAUACAGAGGGUGCGAGCGUUAAUCGGAUUUACUGGGCGUAAAGCGUGCGUAGGCGGCUUCGUAAGUUGG
rnacentral:rRNA from 1 species